rnacentral:rRNA from 1 species
UACGUAGGCAGCAAGCGUUGUUCGGAAUUACUGGGCGUAAAGAGUGUGUAGGCGGUGCUCUAAGUUCGGUGUGAAAUCUCCCGGCUCAACCGGGAGGGUGCGCCGAAUACUGAGGGACUAGAGUGCGGGAGAGGAAAGUGGAAUUCCUGGUGUAGCGGUGAAAUGCGUAGAUAUCAGGAGGAACACCGGUGGUGUAGACGGCUUUCUGGACCGUAACUGACGCUGAGACACGAAAGCGUGGGUAGCAAACAGG